UACAGAGGGUGCGAGCGUUAAUCGGAAUUACUGGGCGUAAAGCGUGCGUAGACGGUCAUGUAAGUUGGGUGUGAAAGCCCCGGGCUCAACCUGGGAAUUGCAUUCGAGACUGCAAGGCUAGGGUGCGGAAGAGGGAAGCGGAAUUUCCGGUGUAGCGGUGAAAUGCGUAGAUAUCGGAAGGAACAUCAGUGGCGAAAGCGGCUUCCUGGUCCAGCACCGACGUUCAGGCACGAAAGCGUGGGGAGCAAACAGG
rnacentral:rRNA from 1 species